GGCACCUUUGCUGAGUCAUUUGGGGUUGGCAGACCUGGAAAAGACAGCGGUUUAGAGAGUGGUUAGUGCCGUGAUCAGCCAACGCAGGCUCUAUUGUCUGUUAGUAUUUCCUGGUGCACUUUUGGAACCUGAUCUGCCCUUCUCAUGGUUAAGGGCAGGGGAUGAGUAACUAGCCAUGGGGAUGUUCUGCAUAUCUUGCCUUGUGCUGAAUUUCCUAUAAAAUGGCUUCAUGAAACUUUGAUGUCAGCUUAAGCAGUACUGCCACCAGGCUCUGCGGAGGGCCCUAAGUGAAUAGAGGGCAGCAGUGUCUUCCAAAUUUGAAAUGAGUGACAGUGGGUUAUAAUUAGGGGAGAAGAUGCUCUUGAUGCUACUGAGAAGAUACAGAGUGAGAACUUUUCUUAGAAAAGUCUGAGGUUGUAAAGAAGAACCAAGUUUUUGUUUUCCAGGCCCCCAGCAGAAUGGAUGGUGCCCACUCACAAUGAGGGCGGAUCUUCCGCACCUAGUCCACUCAGACUCACAUGCUGAUCUCUUCUGGCAACAUCUUCACAGACACGCCCAAAAAUAAUGCUUUACCGGGUUCCUAGGUAGUCUUUAAUCCAGUCAAACUGACACCUAAAAUUAACCAUCACAAUUACCUUCUCACUAAAAUCAAUCUGAGAAGAAAAUGGUCAUAAAGAAUUUGAUGCAAAUCCCUUUUUUGAUUUAUAGGAUGAACAGUAUCCUAGAUAAGGAAACAGUGAAAGGCUGUUUUGUUUUUUUUUUUUUUUCCCCUCCUCUUCAUACUCCCCAAUGUGAGUAAUGGGCAAAAAAUUCCAGGAGAAUGGGAGCAUUCUGAGUGAUAAGAACAAGUAUCUCUCAACAUGUAGAGUGUGUAUACGGGUGGGUUAUUUUCAAAUUUCAAGUCUGCAAAUGGGUAGUUCCAGGUAUGGCUUGGUGAUUGAAGUGGAGGUUCUUUUGGGGCUAGUCCUUUGUGCUCCUGUAAUUUCCCCCCAACUCUGAGUCUGAGCUCAGUGAGAACAAUCACUUUAAUGCUUAAUGCACACCGUAAUACACAGCGGAGUUAACAGAAUAUUCAGACAAUCACAGACACAAUGGCCUUCCUAGCCAUGAGUUUGGAAAAGUGUUUCUAGGAGCUUGUUGUAGCAGAGGCUGUGUAGAUGACAAAGAACAUGCACUGCAUUGUAGAUGGGUUAUAGUUAUGGUGACCAGCCCUUGGAGUUAGGGCAGAUUGGGGUAUUUGAUUGCAAAGAAAUAAGACACUUCUAUAUAUUUUUUUUUAAUUUGCUGAUCAUGGGAAAAUCUUCAUGAACCCUUAUCUUCUUUUUUUUUUUUUGAGAUGGAGUUUUGCUUUUGUCACCCAGGCGAGAGUGCAGUGGCAUGAUCUGGGCUCACUGCAACCUCCAUCUCCUGGGUUCAAGCAAUUCUCCUGCCUCAGCCUCCAGAGUAGCUGGGAUUACAGGUGUGAGCCACCAUACCUGGCUAAUUUUCUAUUUUUAAUAGAGGUGGGGUUUUGCCAUGUUGUCUAGGCUGGUCUCCAACUCCCGACUUCAGAUGAUCCACCCACCUCGGCCUCCCAAAUUGUUGAGAUUACAGGCAUGCACCACUGUGGUCGGCCAUAUUCAUGAUUUAAAGGAAUUGAAGAUAAAAGAAUUGAGUUUGAUAAAAAAGAGAGAGAAGAAUAUUAUUUUCUUCAAAUACUGACUUUUAAGUGAGAUAGUGUGCAAAAAAUCCAUAUACUAGGUACUCAAAUACCUGUUAGUUGACCCUUCCCCUAUGAUGUGAACUGGUUAUUCACAACUAUCUUUAUACUUUAAGUCCUGUUCCUAAACACACACUGAGGUUCUGGAGGGCAGGGCUGGGUCUUAGGUAAAUUUGUUCUGCUACCUUCUCACUGGACACCUGGCUCACCCAAAGCUUGCCUCUCAUCUGUUUUCUGUGUACAGAUUGCCAUUCAAAAAGUGUUUUCUGAGUGAAUGAAUUAUUUACUUUAUGGAGCAUCAACAUCCUUUUUAUGUUCUUGUCCAUUUUUAUGUCCUUGUCCUCACCCUUGUCCCUUCAAGUUCAGUGGGUCCCAGAACUGAACUUGAAGAGAGUUAAUUGGAUAUAGGCCAGGAGUGUGAUUGGACAUACGUGUGUGUGUGUUUCAUUAAAAUUCUCAAACUAAAAAUAAAUGGUUUGUGGAUUAGUCAACUUCUGUUUUCUUCUGCUCGAUAUCCUGAAUUAUCCAGUACCUGUUGCCUCCAUGCUACUGAAAAGUGACCAUGUGUGGUAUGACAAGCUUAUCAGAAGGCUGUCAAAGUGCUUGGCAGAGAAGACAUGGAGUUUAAUCCUGAGUGGAAAAUGGCAUUGUGGAAACAGAUGAAUUAUAGUAGAUGAAUAUAGUAGAAAAUAUAGUAGAUGAAUUAAAGUACAUGAAUUAUCUACUUUGUGGACCAUCAAAAUCCUUUUUAUGUUCUUGUCCAAGUUCAGUG
rnacentral:lncRNA from 1 species